rnacentral:rRNA from 1 species
GAUGAACGCUGGCGGCGUGCCUAAUACAUGCAAGUCGAGCGAACGGACGAGAAGCUUGCUUCUCUGAUGUUAGCGGCGGACGGGUGAGUAACACGUGGAUAACCUACCUAUAAGACUGGGAUAACUUCGGGAAACCGUAGCUAAUACCGGAUAAUAUUUUGAACCGCAUGGUUCAAAAGUGAAAGACGGUCUUGCUGUCACUUAUAGAUGGAUCCGCGCUGCAUUAGCUAGUUGGUAAGGUAACGGCUUACCAAGGCAACGAUGCAUAGCCGACCUGAGAGGGUGAUCGGCCACACUGGAACUGAGACGCGGUCCAGACUCCUACGGGAGGCAGCAGUAGGGAAUCUUCCGCAAUGGGCGAAAGCCUGACGGAGCAACGCCGCGUGAGUGAUGAAGGUCUUCGGAUCGUAAAACUCUGUUAUUAGGUAAGAACAUAUGUGUAAGUAACUGUGCACAUCUUGACGGUACCUAAUCAGAAAGCCACGGCUAACUACGUG